rnacentral:lncRNA from 1 species
GUGUUUUUCCCUUCACAGCUAUUGUAAUAGAUGGUGAUCAUAUAGUCCAUGAUAUCUAAAGUUGAGGAAAUACAGUUCUUUUGUAAAGAGAGGAAAGUUAUUAAACAAACUCUAACUUUUAUGAUGCAUACUUCAAAUUAAAAAAAGAUUUUUGGUAGCUAGGAGAUAUGAAUUAAUAAAAAGUUAAUGAAAUUCAGGUAUACUUAUCACCAUGCAAACUACUCCAAAGAGCCUAGUUAAUCAUUUGGGGAAACUAAAUUAACAUUAAUAGAUCUCCCUUAUGAAUGCUGAAAAAAUAAUGCUAUAAUGUUAGUGAGUAAAUUAAACUUCUAGGAGUACAUACUAUAUUUCUCAAUAGUUAUUCAAAGACUAUGAGAUACUUGUCUCUUUUCCACAUAAAAAGACUUUCUUCAAAUUAGGGAUCCAUUCAAUACAUUGCUCUAUGCCUUCAAUCCACUAUUGAGACCUACGUUGAAACUCUACUUUUCAUGUGUACACUCUAAUGUCUGCCAGUUGGUAAGUUAUGAUUAUCUUGGCUGAUCGUUAUCAAUAAUCCCACGGUGAAAUUCAGAAUAUAUGAGAGACCCAUAAUUAAAAUAUCUGGGAAAGGCUGGGUGCGGUGGCUCAUGCCGGUAAUCCAGCACUUUGGGAGGCUGAGGCGGGCGGAUCACGAGGUCAGGAGAUCGAGACCAUCCUGGCUAACACGGUGAAACCCCGUCUCUAAUAAAAAUACAAAAAAAUUAGCAGGGCGUGGUGGCGGGCGCCUGUAGUCCCAGCUACUCGGGAGGCUGAGGCAGGAGAAUGGCAUGAGCCCGGGAGGCGGAGCUUGCAGUGAGCCGAGAUAGUGCCACUGCACUCCAGCCUGGGCAACAGAGUGAGACUCUGUUUCAAAAAAAAAAAAAAAAAAAAAAACCAAAAAAAAAAAAACUAGGAAAAAAAGCAUGCCCUCUUGACAUACUGAUAUUAAACAAGUCCGUGCAUAUUUCACCUGCUUGGGCUGUUUUCCUUUCUCUUGUCUACCUACGAAAUUCCUACUUCCUCUUCAAGACCCAGCUUGAAUUGCUACCUUUUUUUUCUUUCUUUCUUUCUUUCUUUUUUUUUAAUUAUACUUUAAGUUCUAGGG